GACGAACGCUGGCGGCGUGCUUAACACAUGCAAGUCGAGCGGAGCGGCGAACGGGUGAGUAACGCGUGAGUAAGUGCACCCCUCUCUGGGAUAACAGUUGGAAACGGAUACUAGUACCGGAUAGUGGGGGAUGACUCGCGGCCUAUCGGCUUGUUGGUGGGGUAGUGGCCUACCAAGGCGACGACGGGUAGCCGGCCUGCGAGGGCGACCGGCCACAUUGGGCUGAGAUACGGACCAGAGUCCUACGGGGGGCAGUAGUGGGGAAUAUUGCGCAAUGGGGGAAACCCUGAUGCAGCAACGCGCGGGCGGGAUGACGGCCUUCGGGUUGUAAACCGCUUUCAGCCAUGACGCGGUAGUGGCAGAAGAAGCACCGGCUAACUACGUGCCAGCAGCCGCGGUAAUAC
rnacentral:rRNA from 1 species